AAGAGCUAAGCUUAAGCGAGAGCUAAACUUGAUCUAAACAAAACCCAACUGUUCUUGGUGGUGGCUAAGGGGUAUAUGAAGGUGGGAGGAUGAUCACUAGGGUGUUGGGGUUGUGCUACAACCCUAGAACGCGUCCCUAUUGGACCCGACUUGAUACACGGCCCAUUGGGCCAAAUUAAAGUGACGUAGCACCAGAAAACCUCUCGGUAGUAAAUCGGUCAUUGCGACCGCCUCAGAUCAGAUAUGGACUUGAGUGUAGAUCCAUAUGAAAAUAGACUUCAUAACGAAUUCGUGAAGUACUUGAACUCCCCAAUCCGAGUCCGUAUGCGACCGUGGUGACCAU
rnacentral:lncRNA from 1 species